UUUGGUACUUGUUUUAAUGAAGAGAGAAAGAGGCUCCUACCAGUCCCACCAUGACCCGUACAAGAGCACUGGAAGAGCAGAGUGGGAUUUGUUGCUGCAUUCAAAACCUUUCUAGAAGUAAAGCCUUCCAUAUGGUGAAAUGGUUCUCUGUAAAUAACAGUAACAGUUUGAUUUCUGGUUCUGAAAAGACAAUGUGAUGCAUGGUAGGCUGUUGUACACUGCCAUGCUUUACAAGACCCAAGAAGACAGGAAUCCAAUCCUGCAAACACCAGUUGCAGUGUCAAAAUCAAGCCCAGAGGCAUCACCUGUCUGUUCCAGAAGUCCUGUUUCCUCUCUGACUGUUGUUUGCAGGAUCUUGUGUGAUGGAAGUGUUACAGCAAACAUUGCUAUACAUUUGCAAAACUGAGUUGUCAAGCUUGCAUUUUCAAAGCACCAAUCCAUCUUAAUUUAGGCAUCUGACAGAACCGGGCUGCAAUAAAGCACUGAGACAAGAGAAAGCAGAAGUAGCUUUCGGUAGUGACAACCUCCUGUUGAACAGAACACCACUGGAAAUAGUGUAUACAGCAGCAGCACUUGUGCUCUACCCAGAGCACUGCAAACAGUACUGUGGACAGUGACCAUUGAACAUUGGCUGUGUACUAUUUCAAGAAGUUUUCAUUAUGUUAAAUGCUGAUGCUUGAUCUUCCUCCAGGGCCAGAAAGCUUUCAUCCCCCGGACAAAUGCCUUCAGCAUUGCUGUGUUCUUGCAGCACUGAUUUCAGUCGCUGACGUGUCAUGCAUCGAUAUUCAUUCAUUCAUUCAUGAUGCAUAGCACCGUCUUCAUUCAGAUGGUGUUUCAAGCAGCUAAAACAACAAAACGGGCUUGGAUAAUUUCCUCUUUCAUUUUGAAACAGGUCCCAACUGUUGCUUCUUUUAAGUCUCCGUGAGAAGGCUGCUUUUGCAUUUAAGUUUGUCACGCAUGAAAAGUCUGACAUCAUUAUUUGAUGUUUUACUGAGUCUCCCCUGAGCCCUUUGCAGAAUCCUUAAUCGUGUCAUCAUUAGCUGUUUUCAUAAAAGCAGAAAACCUCCGUGAUCAACAUACAGUGAGGCUCUGCUCAUAGAUAGAUUGUGGUGACACUGUUACCCAGGCAUAUGCUCUGAAAUCUCCUUGGGUUUGAGAAGUAUAAUCUCAUUUUCUUGGAUUUCAGAUGCAUGCUAAAUCCUGUCCACAGCAUUAAACACCUUUUUUUCUCAUGCAUACCUGUUAUUCCACCUAGAUCUACCUUUCAGCUUAUAGAACCUCUGAUUAACAGCAACUAGCUGCUCUUAAUGCCAAUAUCUGCCAUUGCAGAGGCACUGCUUUGAUGUUUUCACUGCAGGAGAUCUAUCACUCCCAUCUUUGGUGCAAAUAGGAGGAUGGAGCCCCUCUCAUGGAGCAGUUCACUGCCACACCUCUUGCUAGUGUCACUUGCCGUGCCUUUCAGUUUGGAGGGGAUUUUGCCAACAGGCUCUGUGUUGGGAUAAUCCAGCUUUGGUGCUAUGAUCAUUUCUUUAGGAAAGCAUACAGACUGGUUGCCCUUUGUAGGCCAGCUGGUGAUCACUGUGCAUUAAAUCUGUCAUUUUCUGCCUUUCAGCGGUAUUUCCUCCAUCAGGAAUCUAAUGACUGUCCUUGAUUUCUGCUCCACCUACAGUUACUGGGCCUGCUUGAAGUUUGCGAAGUGGCUUAAAUACCAUUUACUGUCAGCUACUCCUCAUGGAUGCCAUGAGGGCUUGAACACACUCUCAUAGGAGGAAUACUCAUAAUAAACAUCUGCCUGGGUAAAGGACCAGACAUGCACAUUUGCAAUUAAAUAGCUUAAUGUCAUUUAAGUAUAAUCAAAUCCUUGGUUAAUGUAAUCCAAUAUGGCACCGCUGGAGCUAACCAAAGGCUUGUUCCAACCCUCAGGUGAUAGAAAACUCAGUUCAAAAGGCUUUCAAAGCAAAAAGAAUUUGUGGUUUUGUGGUCACUGUUAGGCUUAGGGAAUGUCACAUCCUUGUGUUCUGAUUCAGACUUCCUCCUGGAUUAUUAAAAUGGGUCAUUUCAACGCCAUGUUUCAAUUCCUUCUGCUGUAAAGUGGAUGUAACAUCACUUCUACAUCACACAGUGCAUUCUGAGUGUUGCCUACUUUUGUAUUACAGAUCCAUCUUUAAUGAUGCUAAUAGGAUCAUUAUUGGAGCACUUCUCCUAUGAAGACAGGCUGAGGGAGCUGGGCUUGUUCAGCCUAGAGAAAAGAAGGCUACGGGGUGACCACAUUGCAGCCUUUCAAUACCUAAAGGGAGCCUACAAACAGGAGGGCAAUCAGCUCUUUGAAAGGGUAGACAACAGCAGGACAAGGGGAAAUGGUUUUAAGUUGAGGGAGAUUGAAGGUUUAGGUUGGCUGUCAGGGAGAAGUGCUUUACAGAGAGAUGGUGAAAUGCUGGCACAGCUGCCCAGAGAGGCUGUGGAUGCCCCGUCCAUCCCUGGAGGUGUUCAAGGCCAGGCUGGAUGGGGCCCUGAGCAGCCUGGUCUGGUAUUAAAUGGGGAGGUUGGUGGCCCUUCGUGUGGCAGGGGGUUGGAGAUUCCUGAUCCUUGAGGUCCCUUCCAACCCUGGCCAUUCUGUGAUUCUGUGAUUCUGUAAUAUUCUGAACAGUAACAUUUAAGGAAGGGUACAAUCAGAUGCUUUAAAAUACAGAUCCAAACGUUACUUUCUGUUGGGUUAAAUUAGUAGACGUGAGGCCAUUUCUGCCAUGCAGGUUGUGAGGCAAGGACAAGAACUGUAGCCUAGGUAGGUCCCAAGGCUUACCCAGCUCACCAGCAUAUCUGCAGUAGAUCUGAGCACUUUCUGGGCCAGAGGAUGAUGCUACACUUCUGCCAUGGAGGAAUAGCUGUACCAUGCAGCAUUUUCUUCACAUGUCACUGGAUAGAAAUUGCUGUGCGUUCUGGUUUAAGGAAGAGGUAGUUCAGAAUUUCUGGGAAUCACACAAACAUUUCUGCUGGGUAAUCAUCAUUAGGAGGAAAUGUCUCCAUUAACCCUCUUGUCUAAGCUUCACAGCUAUGGGAAUUUU